UUUUGAAUUGGAUGACAACGGCUUACCCCAUUCCAGUAACUAUCAUGUGCUACCUGAACUGAGAGGAAUAUUCUGCCCUCCUUUGCGCAACCAUAGCCCUGGCUUUGUUGCCUCCCUUGAUGGUGAUGACAGUCGUAUGUGCGUUGUCUAUGUGGGGGAAGAUGGCACAUAUAAAAGGUGGUUUGCCCGUUUAGCAAUGGUUAAACUUCAUAUAUCAACAUGUGUUGGAAAGUUAAAAGUUACUGCAGUUCUAGAGGGUUUGCACAGUUUUGAUUGCAAUGGACUUGAAUUAUAUGGUCGGACACUUCUCUCAUCUUUCAUCAUGUGUGAUCAUUUGGACAAGCAUGAUGUCGAGGCUGAUGCAAGUUGAAGUAGUCCUUCAUGCCGUAACUUUUCUUGAUUAAUAAUGUUUGAGGAAUAAACUGUUGAAUUAUAUAUCCUUAAGCUGAAUUAGAAGUUAGUUAAACAAUAAAUUUUUUGUUUAAGUUUUAUUUAGCCAAAUGGAUAGAUAGAUGAGUGGCUGAGAUCAUCUUGUGAUGUAAGAGAUCAAGCUAAUGUUGCUAACGGUAAUAUUCCUUGCUCCAUGUGCUUAAGGUUGUAACAGAUAUGAGAGAGAACAUCCCUCUAUUGAAUUCUGCAGAGCAGUAAGAGGACAA